UCCUCAUUUUCACUUUCAUUCUCUCUUUCCUCUCGAGAGUUCUCCCCUCUCGCGAAACCCUAGCAGAAGGUUUCACCUCCCACGCCACCAUCGCUGCCUCUUCCCAUCUUCUACCACCGUGACAGAAAGAAGGUAUCCUCCUCUAUUCUACCGCGCGGAGGGUUGCAGGAAGCAGAGUUUACCAGUAGAGAGCAUAUGAGGCCCUCGAGCUGACUUGCCUUCCCCAAAACCAGAAGCAAAUAAACCACAGGAUGGGCCGGCAUUUUCAUAUGGAUGUCAAAUGCCGUCUUCCUCCUUCACCCAAGUCACCUCCCAUUUUUCUUUUCAGCAAGAGAAGAUCUUUGCUCCUCGCACUUGGAAGACGACUGGUUUUCAGUCGAUUGUACGUCUGCUUCUACUCAACGGUAGAGAUGGACGGGUCGAGUUAAAAAAAAAAGAACAGAGACGAUAAUUUCCCAACCUGGCUCUGAUACCACUGUUGGAUCAAGUGUAGUUGCAGCGGAGGAUGCACGUAGUCGCCUGCACAGUAACUUCUUUAACCAGUUGUGAUGGUCCCCUGUAGAGCCGAACAGAUCAAGUGCAAGGGAGGAGAAAAGAAGAGGAUGUUAGAUUUUGGGGUUUUCUUCCAAAGGGCUGCUCACGGCUCGUUUUCAUUCAGUUCAAGAAAAGCUUGCUUGGAAUUUAAAGCCUAGCCCCUUAGGUUUUCCCCAACCCUAGCUGCGGUUACUUGGGAGAUAUCUUAAGAGAUAUUUUAGGAGCACUUCUAGUAACUGCUUUGCAGUUACUAGAUAUUCAGAUAGGGCUCAAUGGCCACUAUCCAACAUAUUAUAUAUAAUAUGUGAUAAUGAGUUUAUGGAUUUGCGUCCACAUGUAUGCAUGUAAAUUGAUAAAGGAAAUAUAGUUAAAAGGAAAGGGGAAAUUAUCUGCAGUAGCUCAUGAUGCCUUUGAUUGAGCCCAAAUCCCUCAUGGUGCUUCAUUGUGCCAGGUUCGUCCAUAUAAAUAGCGCAACCCCAUUCACAUUCACUGUUCACUGACCUUGCAUUCACGGCCCUGCAACCCGUCAUCCACCCAAUGGAUUCUUUCACGGGCUGCUUGCAACCUGCUCAUUGCCUCAAAAGCAUGAUGUGGUUGUUGAUCGAGGUUGAAACUAGUAGCUGCUAAUGUUUUGUUCCACCGUCAAUGCUCAAUCGAUGCCUUCAUGGUGAGUUCAGUCCACUCCAGUCCAUUUGCGGAGCCAGAAAUUGUUGAUUUUUCUUUUGUUUGCUAUAGGGCUCUAGUACAUAGUAACAUGAAGAUGCAAAAGGGAAUGUGCACUCCACUAUUGAUGUUUUUUGUCUACUGUCUCCUGUAAACAAGUUCCUCCAGCAAGCAAGUUUCUCCCACGAGUUUCUUGCCUACGCCCCAAAACGGCAUUUCGAGAAGAAUAAUAUAUAAAUAUAUAAUUUAGAAUUAAUAAAAAAAAUUAUUGACUCGAUCCGAUCAACCCUGGCUGGGACCCGAAAGCCUGGCAGGCCGUCACCUCUGUACCCACCACUCUUAUUCUUAUUUGCCGCUCGCAAAGUUUUCAUUUUUAAAAUAUUUUAUCUAAUUUUUUUUAGAGAAAGGGUAAUUUUAUGUUUUAUUUUAUUAUUUUAAUAUUUUUAUUAAGGAAAAAUUAUGUGAGAACUAUAUUAGAAAGUAAACCAUUUUUUUGUUGAAGUUCAAAAGUUAGUGUGUGUUCAAGAUUGGCCUAUUAGUUAGGCCGGAUUUUGUAUUUUUUAAAAAGUAUUUAUAUAAUUACCCCAUAAGUAAGUUUGAAAAAAUUUUAAGACCUGUUUGGAUGGCACCCAAAACAUGGUUUUGAGUGGCAAAAUCUCCCAUUAGCCAGCCAAAAAGGGAGGGCGGUGUUUCUAGAAAACCCGUUUAGCCCAUGGUGAUAAACUUACCCCCUCCCCCAGCUCAUGGUCCAACUUGGUCGGGCCUAGGCUCGGACUGCCAAAAUGAGACUCGGACCGGCAAAUUGAUGGUCAACAGUGGCUGUCAUCACUGAUCACAUGCUGCAAAACGUUGUUCAUCUAGAUGUCACUAUGCCUUUUCUUUUCAUCCCAAUCUCUUCAAUUUUGAAGGCAUCAUAUUUACAUUAUUCAUUUCCUUUCCCUUACAUCCAAACAGGUUUUUUGGUUUUCUUUUUGUUACUAAUUAGCCAACCAAACACAUAAAUGACUACCUGUAACGUUAUUUGUUUUUGGCAGGUCGGGUCGGAUUGGGAUCCAGACCCAGACACAGACCCAUCACCAGGAGGGUGCCAACGUCACCCUCUCCUCCAUCGUCUUUCCCUCUUCUCCCUCAUUUCCCCUCUUCGUCUCUCCCUUUGCUACGACCAUAGUACAGAGAAGAAGAAGGCGGAGGUGACUACAGCCACGACGGUGGUGAAGGGUGACAGCGUUCUGCUAUGGAAGUCUGUUUUCCACCUCUUACCAGCAAGUAGGCCGUGUUGUUAGCGACGACAACAAGCAAUCAUUGACUUUGGCACUUGAUCGAACUCAUGCGGUGGCUGUCGGGAGGACUGCAGCAGCUAAGAUUUUAAGAUUGGGGUACACCGGGCGCAUCUAGUAGACUUGAGUAACAAGACGUGAAACUCGAGGCAUUUUGAAGUGUUUUGUGGACGCGCGACAGGCAAUUGGAGGUGUACGUGUAUUCAUGAAGUAAACCAACCUCAUAAGGUAGCCAGUCAUUUUGUGAAUGUGCAAUUAUAAUGAUAAGAAUGAAAGAAUAAGAGUUGAGAGACCAGUGGGUUGUGGCAUUGUGUUUGGGAGUUGUUCCGCCUUCGCCACUGGUCUCGCCUGUUCGGAGCACAGGCGAUGCAAGGCCUCAAGGUAUUGUUGUGUGAUGUGCUUGGAGCAUUGGGCUCACGCCUUCCCAAACUGGGUGUCCUUUUCGAUUUGUUGUAUAGUCGCACCUCAAUGCUUUAUGUUUAGAAAAAAAAUUGUUUGAGGGUCAAAAGGUUGGGGUGUGACACUACCAUUUCCCUGCCUUCCCCUUCAUCCAAGCAGGGUAGGGCGUCAAGAAACUCAUACCUCAUUGCAACAAGAUCGUAUCAGAUGUUGCAACCAUUCCAUUCGUUUGUUACAAUUGCUGCUUAUGAUGAAAAUAGUGUGGAUGAUGUGUGCGCCAAACAUAUGUGUAAACACCG